rnacentral:tRNA from 2 species
GCCAGAGUGGCGGAAUGGCAGACGCGGCGGACUCAAAAUCCGUUGCCCGCAAGGGCGUGUGGGUUCAAGUCCCUCCUCUGGUA